ACCCUGUAGAACCGAAUUUGUGUGAUAAAACCACAGUCACAGAUUCGAUUCUAGGGGAGU
rnacentral:pre_miRNA from 1 species